rnacentral:pre_miRNA from 1 species
UGGUGAUGAUGAUGAUGAUGAUGAUGAUGACGACGAUGAUCAUGAUGACGACGAUGAUCAUCAUCAUCACCGUCAUCAUCAUCAUGGUCA